rnacentral:rRNA from 1 species
CCUACGGGUGGCAGCAGUGAGGAAUAUUGGUCAAUGGACGAGAGUCUGAACCAGCCAAGUAGCGUGAAGGAUGACUGCCCUAUGGGUUGUAAACUUCUUUUAUAUGGGAAUAAAAUGUUCCACGUGUGGGAUUUUGUAUGUACCAUAUGAAUAAGGAUCGGCUAACUCCGUGCCAGCAGCCGCGGUAAUACGGAGGAUCCGAGCGUUAUCCGGAUUUAUUGGGUUUAAAGGGAGCGUAGGUGGAUUGUUAAGUCAGUUGUGAAAGUUUGCGGCUCAACCGUAAAAUUGCAGUUGAAACGGGACUUCUUGAGGGUAGGAGAGGUGGGCGGAAGUCGGGGUGUAGCGGGGAAAUGAUUAGAUACCACGAAGAACUCGGAUGGCGAAGGCAGCUAACUGGCCUGCAACUGACACUGAGGCUCGAAAGUGUGGGUAUCAAACAGGAUGAGAUACCGGAGUAGUC